rnacentral:rRNA from 1 species
UACGUAGGGGGCAAGCGUUGUCCGGAAUCAUUGGGCGUAAAGCGCGUGUAGGCGGCUUGGUAAGUCCGCUCUGAAAGCCCGGGGCUCAACCCCGGGAGGCGGGUGGAUACUGUCAAGCUCGAGUCCGGAAGAGGCGAGUGGAAUUCCUGGUGUAGCGGUGAAAUGCGCAGAUAUCAGGAGGAACAUCAAUGGCGAAGGCAGCUCGCUGGGACGUGACUGACGCUGAGACGCGAAAGCGUGGGAGCAAACAGG